UCCUACGGGAGGCAGCAGUGGGGAAUAUUGCACAAUGGGCGCAAGCCUGAUGCAGCCAUGCCGCGUGUGUGAAGAAGGCCUUCGGGUUGUAAAGCACUUUCAGUCGUGAGGAAGGUAGUGUAGUUAAUAGCUGCAUUAUUUGACGUUAGCGACAGAAGAAGCACCGGCUAACUCCGUGCCAGCAGCCGCGGUAAUACGGAGGGUGCGAGCGUUAAUCGGAAUUACUGGGCGUAAAGCGCAUGCAGGUGGUUUGUUAAGUCAGAUGUGAAAGCCCGGGGCUCAACCUCGGAAUAGCAUUUGAAACUGGCAGACUAGAGUCUUGUAGAGGGGGUAGAAUUUCAGGUGUAGCGGUGAAAAUGCGUAGAGAUCUGAAGGAAUACCAGUGGCGAAGGCGGCCCCCUGGACAAAGACUGACGCUCAGAUGCGAAAGCGUGGGGAGCAAACAGGAUUAGAUACCCUGGUAG
rnacentral:rRNA from 1 species